AGAUGUGAGGGCCAUCUGGUGGUGACAUCUGUCACCCCAUUAAUCACCAGGGUUGAUUCGGCUGAUCUGGCUGGCUAGGUGGGUGUCCCUUUCCUCCCUCAAUGAUCCACGUACAUUCCUCCCAAAGCUGCACACUUGGUGGAAGAGGAUGACUUUCCCCAGUAGAGGACUGGUCUUUGGUCAAGGGUAUACGAGUAGCUGCGCUCCUCUGCUAGACCCUUCAAACAAGCUCUAAGAUUGUCCUGACAUUGUUUAUGGUGGCUGGUAGCAGGUAAAACAAAAUUAUUAAUCUUUCCAUUAGUGACUUCUGGAUUUUGCCUUUCAAU
rnacentral:snRNA from 1 species